AAAAAUUGAAAAGAGCAUCCAAACUCUUGCAUUGUAAAUCAAAAGCCACUUUGUAAAACUUUGAUAAAAGUAUUUUCUUCCUCCUUCAACUAUCUUGUUCAAUUAAAUUACUCCUAUCAUUUCUAUCCCACAUAAAAUCUACUUAAACACUUCUAUCUAAACCCAUUUAUUUUUUCUGCUCAAAAUAAAAAAACCUUUAGGAAUGUGACGGUGUAAAAGGAAGGAUUCUUAUAAUGCACAAGAUAGACAUGAAGAUUCAACCAAAUCAGCUGUAAUUAGCUUCUUACAUAACCCUUUUUUUUUUUCAGAAUCUUGCACAAUUUCCUGAUGUGUAUACUUUUCAUGUUUUAUUGCGUCAUAUACAAGGUCUUUGACUUGAAAACUUACAUAAUGUUCUUUGACUUGAAAACUUACAUAAAGUUAGUCUCCAUUUCAAGUAACAUUUUCAAGAGAGUGCACAUCAUGAAUAAAUUCAAAUGGUUGUUAUGAUAUACCUAUUUCUUUUCUGAUGUAAGUAAGCUGGAAAGAUGUUUGUAUUUCUUCAGCUCCAAAAUUAAAUAGUCCUCAUUCUGCUUCCCAACGUUAUCUAAAUAAUCCUUUUUAUCAUAUUCUUUAACUGAAAGAUUAUUUGUUUCUUUACUUUUUCUCAGACUCAUUUUCUGCACACGUUCUUCAAUAAAUUACUUCUCAACAAAAAGGUAUUUUCUUCUGUGUGGAAAGAAGACUUCUUUCCACAAGCUCACUGUGUCUUGUAUACACAUCCACAAAUUUGUGGACCCAUAACUUAUUACUUACUUUUUACGCAGCAUUCUUUGGAACCUGCAUCUGAAAUUCUAACUUAAACACUCCGAAACGAGGUUUUAUGUGUUCAUAAAAAAAUUAGUCUUCAAAACACUGUCUUUGAUGCAGAUCAGAUUCCUUUUUUUUUAAUGAAUGGAUGGUAUGUUCAUAAUUUUCAUAAAAGAGUGGCGACGAGACAUGUACCUAGAUUUUUGUUGGCUCCAAUACCAUGCCGUACUACAUCAUCUAAAAGCUUAAGCUGUUGACUGGGGACAAAUUUAUUCAUUUCAAUUUAAUAUUAAUGGUCUUUAGGGUAUUUAUUCUUUUGAGAACAUAUGAUGCAGAUUCCUGAAAGUGUGGUUGACCUACGCUAGAAUUAACAAUGUGCUGCUUAUUGUUGGGGUACAUCCCGCGAUUUACCUCCCUCACAAAGUUCUAGGGGCGGAACGUUGGGGACCCUCAAGGUUGGGGUUCAACCUUUUUUUUUUUUUAACUAUGUGCUGCUUAUUUUCCAACGUGUUGAGCAGUCAAGAAAAUCCUUGCUGCAAUGCAAACAGGGUCUAUAAAUAAGAAAAUCCAUACAAGGCCUCGUUGAAAUUUGAAAAAGUUCAGUGUUUCAUACCGUGGAAAGGGAACGUUGACCAAUUUGAUUGGGGAUGCAUACUUCAAAUGGAAUCGAAUUUCUCGAAU
rnacentral:lncRNA from 1 species